GUGUAGACUGCGGGCAUUUAAAGUGUAGACUGUGGGCAUUUAAGGUGUAGACUGUGGGCAUUUAAGGUGUAGACUGUGGGCAAUUGAAUUCAUCUCAAGCGUAGUUUUCGGCUCUAUUUUAUCCGAGUCAAAACCACUUUGUUUGUUUUGUACUCAACUACACUUUUACUCAGUGUUAGCACCUAAGAUUUAUAAUACACAGAAGGCAAAGCAUGUGAGAGUGGAGAGCAUCUUAUAAGCGUUUGCUACAAGGAAAUUAAAAGAAAAAAGAAAUCCCAGAUUGCAUAUCCGACCUUCUAUAGGCGAGUGCGUCUAACAAGCGAAAAUAUACGAUAAACCUGAAAAUGUUCGAUUUUGAAAUAAAACAAGAGCUGUCACAGGAGACAGCAUGCUCGACUAUUUCGAUGCUGGAUAGUGAAACUGGGCACAUCUGAGGAAGCUGGAGCUGUCACUUGAGUGUUUGAUGACUCCAAUGGUGAAAGAAGAUAAUGACUCAAACUGUGGAUGAAAAUAUUGCCAUAGACAAUAGUUUGAGUCUGUGUCAAAAAUGUAGGUAACAACAGAGAUAAAGAUAAAGUUCAUCAAAACACUAAAUAAGUAUAAUUCGAAAUCAAAGAGGGUAUAAUUCAUAAAAUAUUUGUGCAAGUGUUAUGCACCUUGUAUGCGGGUAGUAAUGUGGAAUAACUCUUUUAAGUUUGAAUCAAAUCCAUUUAGUAAUAAGCGAGAUAGAGUGAAAGUGUAUCAAAACUUUAACCUGAAAUUCUAUGUAAAAAGGGGAUAAUUCAUGAAAUAUAGGUGCAAGAGUCAUGUCCCUUUUGUAAUAUGAUGUGAGUGAUGAUGUUAAACAAAUCCAUUUAGUAAUAACUGAGAGAAUGAAAGUGCAUCAAAACUUAACCUGAAAUUCCAAGUAAAAGGGGGCAUAAUUCAUUACAUAUUUGUACCAGAGUUACGUGCCUAGUGUCAUAUGAUGUGGGAGAUGAUGUGAAACAACUAGUUUAAGUUUGAAUCAAAUCCAUUAACAAUAACUGAGAUAGAAAGUACAUCAAAACUUUAACUUGAAAUUUUAAGUAAAAAGGGGGAUCAUUCAUGAAAUCUUGUGAGUGUUACGACCCUUAUGUCAUAUGAUGUGGGUGGUGAUGAGGAAUCGCUGUUUUAAGUUUGAAAUAAACCCAUAAAGUAAUUACAGAGGUAAAGAGAGAAUGCAUCAACCAAGGUGCGGACGCGGAAGGACGCCGACGCCGGUUCGAGUAGGACAGCUCUCCAUACUUCGUAUAAUCGAGCUAACGAACGGUGUUUUUCUGCUUAAAGUCUUUAUUUCAAGUCAGAAUACCCUGCAACUGUUCAAUCUGGAAAUGGAACUAGUGUGUUUAUUUGCAUAAAGUUUUUCUUGACAGGUCAAACUACACUGUAAAUAUUUAGUUCAGAAAUGUCUAGUGGUGUUUAUUUGCAUAUUAAAGUCUUUCUUGACAGGCCAGACUACACUGCAAAUGUUUAGUUCGGAAUAAUUUGGCACGAAUGUUUCGUAUGUCGUGAGAUUCAACCUUUACCCUUCUAAAUACCUAAAAUGUGCUGGUCCAUUAUUCAAUUUUGGUAGUUCCCCUUAUUAUUCAAAGAGAUAUUCACUGAAAAAAUUACUGACUAAAUGGCGAAAAAUGCCUAUCAUGAUCAGCCUGCAGGCUGAUCUUGGUCUGCACUGGUCGUAAAGGCAGAAUCACUUGCCGGUAGCAGGCUUAAGGUUAGGUGAUUGUGAAACAUUUCAGUGUCUGUUUGAAAUGUAUGUAUACGUUAAUCAAAAAGUUAACUUAAAUGUUCUUUCGCAUAUAAUAUUUUAC